AUACUAGUGGGCCAGUGCACGAAAGUCAUGCACAUUAACAGGGAAUCAAUUAGAGGAAAUAUUUUAAUGUUGCUAUUUGCCCUUUCUCCAUAAUAGAAGUGUCAGAGAUGAAAUAAAAUUAGUAAAAUGUAUAGAAAAU